rnacentral:lncRNA from 1 species
GUUCUGGUAGAGAGCUGCAAUUUUCUGACUUUGGCUGCUUAUUUAUCUCGUUGCUCAAGGCUUUGUGAACUCUUUUUUUUCUUUCUCAGGUAUGAAGGUCUUCUUGAGCAUUUCCCGUUUGGGGUGUCUUGUGGCGAUGAACUACCUCAGCUUUCGUUUAUAAUUUUGAAUAUCUCCUUCUACCUUCUCGUAGCCUGUAAAGAUUCUGCUGAGAAAUCUCCUGAAAGUUUGAUAUGGUCUUUGUAAGUUAUUUUCUUCUGCCUUGCUGCCUUUAACAAUAUUUCUUCUUUGUCACUGACUUUUGCCAGUUUUCCUACUCUAUGCCUUGGAGUAGGUCUUUUUACAUUGAUGUAAUCAGAAGUGCUGUUAGCGUCUUUUACUUGUAAUUCCAGCUCCUUUCCCAGGUCUGAACAGACUUUCUACUCCUUUCUCCCUCCCUUCUCCCUCUAUAAUACCCAUAGUUUUCAUGUUGCAUUUCCUAAUUCAAUCAGAUAUUUCUCAGAGAAUUUCUUCAUUUCCUUUUAGUCUUAAUUCUCUCUCCUCCUCCAUCUGAAGCCUUUCUAUAUUUCAGUCCUCCAGAUUGCUAAUUCCGUCUUCCAUAAUGUCAGCUCUGUAAUUCAGGGUAUCCAGAUUUUUCUUUAUCUCAUUGUGUUUUUCAUCUCCAACAUUUCUGAUUGGUUUCUCUUUAUAGGGUCAAUCUCUUUUGUGAAGUAUUCUCUCUGUUUAUUACUUUUAUUCCUGAUUUAAUUGA